rnacentral:rRNA from 1 species
AUUGAACGCUGGCGGCAGGCCUAACACAUGCAAGUCGAACGGUAACAGGGAUCAGCUUGCUGAUUCGCUGACGAGUGGCGGACGGGUGAGUAAUGUCUGGGAAACUGCCUGAUGGAGGGGGAUAACUACUGGAAACGGUAGCUAAUACCGCAUAACGUCGCAAGACCAAAGAGGGGGACCUUCGGGCCUCUUGCCAUCGGAUGUGCCCAGAUGGGAUUAGCUAGUAGGUGGGGUAACGGCUCACCUAGGCGACGAUCCCUAGCUGGUCUGAGAGGAUGACCAGCCACAGUGGAACUGAGACACGGUCCAGACUCCGGCGGGAGGCAGCAGGGGGGAAUAUUGGAGAAUGGGCGAAAGCCUGAGGCAGCCAGGCGGGGUGUAUGAAGAAGGCCUUGGGGUUGUAAAGAACUUUAAGGGGGGAGGAAGGGAGGAAAGUUAAUACCUUGCUGAUUGGACGUGACCCAAAGAAGAAGCACCGGCUAACGCCGGG